rnacentral:rRNA from 1 species
GGAUGCGAUCAUACCAGCACUAAUGCACCGGAUCCCAUCAGAACUCCGAAGCUUAGUAGCGUGCUUCGGGCGACGCGAGUAGUACUAGGAUGGGUGACCCCCUGGGAAGUCCUCGUGUUGCAUCCC